rnacentral:rRNA from 1 species
GCAGUCGAGCGGAAGAUGGGAGCUUGCUCCCUGAUGUUAGCGGCGGACGGGUGAGUAACACGUGGGUAACCUGCCUGUAAGACUGGGAUAACUCCGGGAAACCGGGGCUAAUACCGGAUGGUUGUUUGAACCGCAUGGUUCAAACAUAAAAGGUGGCUUCGGCUACCACUUACAGAUGGACCCGCGGCGCAUUAGCUAGUUGGUGAGGUAACGGCUCACCAAGGCAACGAUGCGUAGCCGACCUGAAAGGGUGAUCGACCACACUGGGACUGAGACACGGCCCAGACUCCUACGGGAGGCAGCAGUAGGGAAUCUUCCGCAAUGGACGAAAGUCUGACGGAGCAACGCCGCGUGA